GGCUAUGGCGACGGCGACGGCGCCCGCGCCCGCGAGCUCCUCGAGCCGCCCCGCCGCCCGCAAGCCGCGCCGCCGCGGUUGCCUGCGCCGCCGCACGCUGCCAGAUACCCACCGCCGGACCCCGCCUCCCGCCGUCCGCGUCGCACCCGCAACUGCGUGUCGUUGCUGCCUGUGCUCUGCCUCGCGGCCUCCUCGACUCCUCGAGCCGGAGCUCGCUUCCGCCGGUAGCCAGCAGCAGCACCACCAGCAGGUCCCGCGUCGCCCGCGCCCCUUCUUCCUCAGCCCUGCCCGAGCUCGUGCCCGACCGAGGCCAGCUAACCCCGCCGCCAGAGGCCACCGUCGCCACCGCAGAUGAGCGCCGCCCCACUCCUUUCUCACCUCUCCCUCCGGUUCCCCCUGCUCAUCUCCCUCCCUGGUUUCUUCUCUACAGGAGCGCCAUGGUCGCUGAUCCCAUGCCCGAGGCCUCCUCAUCGCCGUCGUCGUCUGCUUCGUCUCCCACCGCUGCGUGCCUGGACUCCACCGCUCGCACCUCCGCCCGUGCCCAAUCUCUGCUAAACUCCUCGCCCUUGCUGUCGUUGCUCUGUUCGUCGAGAACGAGCGAGCGGGAUGCCCGUUCCGCCUCCGUGUCCUUGUCAAACUCCUGCUCCCGUGUCCUUCUCAAACAAAGAAACCGUACCGACCAGGAUUUGUAGUUCGAUGCUAUAUAUUGAAUUGUUCUCUGCCGGAAUCCAGAACCAGGCCAGCGCCACCAGCGAGCAGUGCACCGUUGAAUUGUUCUCUGCCGGAAUCGUGAAUCAGGCCAGCGCCACCAGCGAGCAUUGCACCGUCGCUUGGGGUAUGAUACAGAUAUAAUUCUUCCCUUGCUUCUCCUGUUUCCUGUGGUAUAAUGUUGCAAUUCAACUGCUACUAUGUGAUCUUGCAAUUGUCGUAGUUAUGUUUCCUGCCGUAUAAUGUUGCCGUAUUAAUAGCUGCUCAAUCUGUUUUUGAUCAUGCUGUGAACAUUGGUGUGUUUAUGUGCCCUUGCUAGAAGUCUUAGCAAAAGUGACAAAGUGAUUGACUGAUUAUGAGCAGACUAAUAUCGACUGUACAUGUAUCAAUACAAAAAAAACAGAAAUUGAGAGCAGGGUUAUGGAUAGAGUUCUAGAUUUAGGAGCUCCUCGCUCCACACCUACAUUCAGAAACAACAGUUUUGAUGAAUCUGUCCUUCUACUUGUGUUGGACCUUUAGAUGCUACAUUCAGAUAUUUAACAACUGCGGAUUCAAUGAGCAAUCAAGCAAAUCACGUUUCUCUUGUGAAAGAUGUGAAAUACUUGACCAGCUUGUUCCUUUGUUCCUUUGUUCCUUUGAUCAAGUUUCUUAUCUGGGUUUCAUUGAUUGAACUAUUGGAGAAAUUUGUAUGCUAUUUCCUGAUGCCUGUGUUACUAUGUUACUACCUCUGAUCCCCAAUUUGAGCAAAACUUCAAUGCUUAUUUUGGCCUGAUUUGUAUGCUAUUUGCUGAUGCCUGACUAUGAUUUUUGGUUAUCGCUCUAUUACAGUGUAGUAAUAUAUAAUUUGGUCUGUUUGUGUUGUUGUGUUACUACCUCUGAUCCCUAAUUUGACCGCGGAUGCUGCUGCUACACCCGCACCACCAGCCCAAGGUCAGUCUCCUUCACCUUGCUCUGUAGCGCAACUCCCGCCUGACACCAUGUUGGCUUACUUCUGCCCCUCUGGUUUGGAGAGUGUGCGCUCUCAGCUCUGCUGGGCCGGCCGUGCUCUCUUGCUGAUUCUUACCUGCAGCUCCAACAUGAAAGCCUACAAAUUGACUCUUGAGAUUUGUCUUCAAAAUAGGAUUUUUUUUUUUACUAUUACAUACUCUACUGAAGUUACAUGAUGUGCAGUUUAGAAAGUUGAUUACUGGGGGACUUUUACUACAUGUCCAAUUAUGGUUUCAUGAUAAAAGGAUCGUGCACUAAACGUUUGUUGAAUUGCUGCUUCAAGAAAAUGUAUGGAGUUUUCAUUGCGUGCUUCAAGUCAUUAACCAGGUAAAAUAAAUCCUAUAAGCUGUUCUUACCAUACAAUCUUUUGAACCAAUUUUUGUAAACUUAGUACAAUAUGAUUAUUGUUUUUGUAGGCUUUCCUAUAGAUAUAUUUGAGCUAUUAAAAAUGUGAUUAUAUCAUUUGUCAUCUGAAAACCAGACUCAUUUAUACAUAAUGGGACAUAAUGUCCAGAAAAUAGUCACCAGGUACAAACAUCACUCUUGACCUACAUUGUACAACAUUGCAUAAUUUUCUGUUUUUCUUGAGGUACCGCUCAGUAUUUUUUUAUCGCAUACAUAGAUAGGACAAAGGUCACAAGAGCUGAUUUUGUGCACCUUGCUGCAUGUGCACUCACUUGAUUAAGAUAUUCAAAGUGUGAGCUUUUGAAAUUUCCAAAAAUAAAUCAGAUUGUCAUUAUUAACCCAUGUGCACAUGCAAUGCUUUCUGACUCUCUGACAAUUGUCUUUCAGAAUAAUUUGAUGAACCACCAUGUCGCCCUUCCGCUUGGUUCCAUGGGAAAGCAAUUUACAAAGCUCCAGUUGGUCAAUACAGCCUUGAUUCUAUGUUUUCUACCACUGCUUAACUUUAUUUGAAAAACUGUUGUUGUUAUGUAUGCAGGAUAGAGUAUAGAGUUGUAUGCAGGAUAUAGUACUAGCGUUGGAAUUUCAGGGCAUCCAAAAAGAACUUAGUAUGCUUCAACCCAUGUUUUCUACCAUUGCUUACCUUUAUUUGAAAAACUGUUGUUGCUAUGUAUGCAAGAUACAAUACUAGAGUUGGAAUAUCAGGGCAUCCAAAAAGAAUUUACUAUGCUUCAGGUAAGAAAGUUAAUUUGUUUGACUUUUGUAGGGACUAAAUUACUAGCUUAAUGCAUGGAACUUAUUGAGCUGCAGUCAUGGCAUGUGCUUACAUAGAGACCUUCGUUCUGUGGAUAUACCUCUUCUUAUAGGACAGCAUGUGCGUGAUGCAUUGCUCCCCUUAGUUUUCGGAGGAACAUGGUGCUAUUCCUGGUGCUUUUGGUUAUGAAAAAACUGACAUUAGUCAGGAACUUUCUAAGGUGAUCACCUUACUGCUCUGUUCUCAUCGUACCAUUUCUACACAGUUUACUGAGUUUAAAAAUCCAUGCAAUACUCUAAUUCUGAAGCUUUGGUUUAUGUGAGAUGUGGCUGAAAGAAGAAAUGAGAUAGCCGAGAUUCUAAUGGAUUUCCCCCAAUCGACAAUGAUAUUUCAUGACAUGAUGUGAAAAGUGGAGCCGCUUAAAGUACAUGGCGAGCUCACCAUGGCUGCCUUUCUUCCAACAGAUUGGGAACCGCCGACCGCGACCCAUGGUGUGUAGAUGAUACACCGGUGAGGAUGAGGAGGAUCUUGCGAUUUCCAGAUUUCAAGUGUCUACACACUAUAUGUAGUUCCACCUCACUGUUGUCGGGAACGAGCCACUUGGGGCAACGAGGUUGCUACGACUUUAGGCCAUACAUAGCCUCGAACAGAAGAAACACUGCCUCCUUGUUGGCAUAGCACUAGGAGGAAGAAAGAGGUGAACGGAUAGAUCCGGCGCCACAGAAGGCUGCCCUACAGCCCGAAGAGUGACCGGAGCGAUGAAGACCGCCCAUCGAUCACCAAAGACCAGUUUCAACAAGCGGCGUAGCUUCAUAAGAAAUUCUGGUGAUAAUAAGCUCACAUCGGAUCAUAUAGUAUAAUUUCGGCUGAAAUUAACACCAAAGCUUCUAUUGCAAAAUAGAUUAUGAAAUAUGGACUAUUUGUUGGUAAUCUUGAGUCGUCUUGAACUUAAAUAUUGGCUUUACAAGAAGACUUUCUUUUUUCAUAAUAAUGGAUGAGCAAGAAUUUUAGAAACCA